rnacentral:rRNA from 2 species
GGACUACUGGGGUAUCUAAUCCCGUUUGCUCCCCUGACCUUCGUGCCUCAGCGUCAGGAACUGUCCAGAGACCCGCCUUCGCCACUGGUCUUCCUUACGAUAUCUACGCAUUUCACCGCUACACCGUAAAUUCCAGUCUCCUCUCCAGUCCUCAAGCACGGCAGUAUCGAAUGCAGUUUCGGAGUUAAGCUCCGAGAUUUCACACCCGACUUACCGCGCCGCCUACGCACCCUUUACGCCCAAUGAAUCCGAACAACGCUUGAGACCUCUGUAUUACCGCGGCUGCUGGCAC